rnacentral:rRNA from 1 species
AUUGAACGCUAACGGCGUGCUUAACACAUGCAAGUCGAACGGCAGCACAGCAGUAGCAAUACUGUGGGUGGCGAGUGGCGGACGGGUGAGUAAUGCAUAGGAAUCUGCCUUGUAAUGGGGGAUAACCCGGGGAAACUCGGGCUAAUACCGAAUAAUCUUUACGAAGCAAAGUGGGGGACCGUAAGGCCUCACGUUAUAAGAUGAGCCUAGGUUGGAUUAGCUAGUUGGUGGGGUAAAGGCCUACCAAGGCGACGAUCCAUAGCUGGUAUGAGAAGAUGAUCGGCCACACUGGGACUGGGACACGGCCCAGACUCCUACGGGAGGCAGCAGUGGGGAAUAUUGGACAAUGGGGGAAACCCUGAUCCAGCAACGCCGUGUGUGUGAAGAAGGCCUUAGGGUUGUAAAGCACUUUCAGUAGGGAAGAAAGGCUUAAGGGUAAUAUCCUUGAGUAUUGACGUUACCUACAGAAGAAGCACUGGCUAACUCUGUGCCAGCCGCCGCGGUAA